UGGUGGAGUGAUCUGUCAGGUUAAUUCCGAUAACGAACGAGACCUUAGCCUGCUAAAUAGUUACUUGAAGGUCUUCGACUUUCAUGAUAGCUUCUUAGAGGGACUUCGUGUGCUUAAUGCGAGGAAGUUUGUAGGCAAUAACA
rnacentral:rRNA from 1 species